rnacentral:rRNA from 1 species
AAGAGCGCGUAGGCGGUCUGUCAAGUUGGGAGUGAAAGCCCGGGGCUCAACCUCGGAAUUGCUUUCAAAACUAGCAGACUAGAGUUCGGUAGGGGAUGGUGGAAUUCCUAGUGUAGAGGUGAAAUUCUUAGAUAUUAGGAGGAACACCAGUGGCGAAGGCGGCCAUCUGGGCCGAUACUGACGCUGAGGCGCGAAAGCGUGGGUAGCAAACAGGAUUAGAUACCCCUUGU